ACCCACCCUCGACACUGGGAUAGCCCGGGGAAACCCGGAUUAAUACCGGAUGCCCUCUCGAAUCUUCGGGUUCGUGAGAAAAGGAGGCUUCGGCUUCUGGUCGGGGAGGGGCCCGCGGCCGAUUAGCUUGUUGGCGGGGUAACGGCCCACCAAGGCGACGAUCGGUAGCUGGUCUGAGAGGACGAUCAGCCACACUGGGACUGAGACACGGCCCAGACUUCUACGGAAGGCAGCAGUGGGGAAUCUUGCGCAAUGGGCGAAAGCCUGACGCAGCGACGCCGCGUGGGGGAAGAAGGCCUUCGGGUUGUAAACCCCUUUCAGGAGGGACGAAGCCACUCGGGUUAAUAGCCCAGAGGGUGACGGUACCUCCAGAAGAAGCCCCGGC
rnacentral:rRNA from 1 species